rnacentral:rRNA from 1 species
CGAACGCUGGCGGCGUGCUUAACACAUGCAAGUCGAACGCGAACGAGUUCUUCGGAACUUUAGUAGAGUGGCGCACGGGUGAGUAACGCGUAAGUAAUCUACCCUCGCAUUUGGGAUAACCCACCGAAAGGUGUGCUAAUACCAGAUACGUCUAAGAUAAUAUCUUUUUUUUAGAGAAAGGUGGCCUCUGAUUCAAGCUACUGUGCGGGGAGGAGCUUGCGUACCAUUAGCUAGUUGGUAGGGUAAUGGCCUACCAAGGCAACGAUGGUUAGCGGGUCUGAGAGGAUGAUCCGCCACACUGGAACUGAAACACGGACCAGACUCCUACGGGAGGCAGCAGUGAGGAAUAUUGCGCAAUGGGGGCAACCCUGACGCAGCGACGCCGCGUGGAUGAUGAAGGCCUUCGGGUUGUAAAAUCCUGUCAGAUGGGAAGAAGUGUAUCAUGGUUAAUAUCUGUGGUAUUUGACGGUACCAUCAAAGGAAGCACCGGCUAACUCC